GACGAACGCUGGCGGCGCGCUUAACACAUGCAAGUCGAACGGAAAGGCCCUGCUUUUGGGGGGUGCUCGAGUGGCGAACGGGUGAGUAACACGUGAGUAACCUGCCCUUGACUUUAGGAUAACUUCAGGAAACGGGGGCGAAUAACGGAUAUGAGCUCCUGCUGCAUUGUGGGGGGUGGAAAUUUUCGGCGGCUGGGGCUGGACUCGCGGCUCAUCAGCUUGUUGGUGGGGUAGUGGCUUACCAAGGCUGCUACGGGUAGCCGGCCUGAGAGGGUGACCGGCCAUCGUGGGACAGUGACUCUGCCUAGACACGUACGGGGGGUAGCGCUGGCGGAUUCUCAACAAUGGGCGGCAGAACGACGGAGCACCGCCGCGCGGGCGACGACGGCUUACCCGUUGUCACCCGCUCUCGCCUUGGAUGACGCCUGACUCACGGUCCUCGGUCAAGAAGCAGGGGCUGACUUCGUG
rnacentral:rRNA from 1 species